rnacentral:rRNA from 1 species
AUUUAACGCUGGCGGCAGGCCUAACACAUGCAAGUCGAGCGAGCGGCGGACGGGUGAGCAAUGCCUGGGAAUUGCCCAGUCGAGGGGGCUAACAGUUGGAAACGACCGCUAAUACCGCACACGAUUGGAUUGCCCAGGUGGGAUUAGCUAGUUGGUGAGGUAAUGGCUCACCAAGGCGCCGAUCCCUAGCUGGUCUGAGAGGAAGAUCAGCCACACGGGAACUGAGACACGGUCCAGACUCCGACGAGGGGAAGCAGUGGGGAAUAUUGCACAAUGGGGGAAACCCUGAGGCAGCCAUGCCGCGUGUGUGAAGAAGGCCUUCGGGUUGUAAAGCACUUUAAGCGAGGAGGCGUUAAGCGAAGAAGAGGCACCGGCUAACUCCGUGCCAGCAGCCGCGGUAAUAC